GGCUCCCUCCAUCCCCACCCCAGCAUGGCGUCACAGCGAGUAGCAUUAUGACAUCAUGGUGUCUUCCUAUUGUCAUGCCAUGACGUCACAGGCACAACACUGGAAUGUGGCGCAGCCUCGACGUUGUGGUCUAGCGCUGUGGUGCGGCAGCUAAACCUCAUGGCAGGGCUUUGAGAGAGACAAGGUUGGGAUGAGCACUAAUUUUUGAUGGGGGGACACUCAAGAUUUUGUGGACAGGCAAAACAUGCUGGAACUGAGGGACUACCAGAGGAGCUGUCUGAAGGAGUGGCUAAUGAAAUAGGAGGAGAAGCAAGCACAAGCAAAGUCAUGUAAUCUUAGGUUGAUCAGGGAUUGGUGGAGAAGCGACUUACUGAUAGUCAAAAUAAGAAUCCAGCAGGAGAGAACAGAAGAAAGAGGUAAUUAGUGACUUUGGGUAAACAGGUUCCAGUGAAGAUGGGUGGAAUUAACUGA